GGGCGCGUAGCUCAGCGGGAGAGCACUCGCUUCACACGCGAGGGGUCGCUGGUUCAAUCCCAGCCGUGCCCA
rnacentral:tRNA from 1 species